GUGAGGAAUAUUGGUCAAUGGGCGGGAGCCUGAACCAGCCAAGUCGCGUGAAGGAAGAAGGAUCUAUGGUUCGUAAACUUCUUUUGCAGGGGAAUAAAGUGCAGGACGUGUCCUGUUUUGUAUGUACCCUGAGAAUAAGGAUCGGCUAACUCCGUGCCAGCAGCCGCGGUAAUACGGAGGAUCCGAGCGUUAUCCGGAUUUAUUGGGUUUAAAGGGUGCGUAGGUGGUUUGAUCAGUCAGCGGUGAAAGUUUGCAGCUUAACUGUAAAAAUGCCGUUGAAACUGUCGGACUUGAGUGUAAAUGAGGUAGGCGGAAUGCGUGGUGUAGCGGUGAAAUGCAUAGAUAUCACGCAGAACUCCGAUUGCGAAGGCAGCUUACUAAGCUACAACUGACACUGAAGCACGAAAGCGUGGGGAUCAAACAGGAUUAGAAACCCGUGUAGUCC
rnacentral:rRNA from 1 species